UACAGAGGUCUCAAGCGUUGUUCGGAUUCAUUGGGCGUAAAGCGCGUGUAGGUGGCCAAGUAGGUCCGCUGUGAAAACUUGAGGCUCAACCUCAAGCUGUCGGUGGAAACCCCUUGGCUAGAGUCCGGAAGAGGAGAGUGGAAUUCCUGGUGUAGCGGUGAAAUGCGCAGAUAUCAGGAAGAACACCAAUGGCGAAGGCAGCUCUCUGGGACGGUACUGACACUGAGACGCGAAAGCGUGGGGAGCGAACAGG
rnacentral:rRNA from 1 species